GUGUCAGCAGCCGCGGUAAGACGAACCGUGCGAACGUUAUUCGGAAUCACUGGGCUUAAAGGGCGCGUAGGCGGGUUCUCAAGUCAGGGGUGAAAUCCCGCGGCUCAACCGUGGAAGUGCCUUUGAUACUGGGGACCUCGAGGGAGGUAGGGGCGUGCGGAACUUCCGGUGGAGCGGUGAAAUGCGUAGAUAUCGGAAGGAACACCGGUGGCGAAAGCGGCGCGCUGGACCUCUUCUGACGCUGAGGCGCGAAAGCCAGGGGAGCAAACGGGAUUAGAUACCCCGGUAGUCC
rnacentral:rRNA from 1 species